rnacentral:rRNA from 1 species
GACAGAGGGUGCAAGCGUUGUUCGGAAUUACUGGGCGUAAAGCGCGCGCAGGCGGAUCCUGUAAGUCAGACGUGAAAUCCCUCGGCUUAACCGGGGAACUGCGUCUGAUACUGGAUGGCUCGAGUUUGGGAGAGGGAUGCGGAAUUCCAGGUGUAGCGGUGAAAUGCGCAGAUAUCAGGAGGAACACCGGUGGCGAAGGCGGGUCUCUGGGCCGAUACUGACACUGAGGAGCGAAAGCGUGGGGAGCGAACAGG